rnacentral:rRNA from 1 species
CUGCGAGUGAACCGGGAAGAGCCCAGCACCGAAUCCCUCAGCACGAUGCUGACGGGAAGUGUGGUGUUUAGAGUGAUCAUUGUGCGUUGCACUGGCGUCUAAGUCUUCUUGACUGGGGUUUGAUGGCCCAGAGCGGGUGUCAGGCCUUUAAGGCGCUGGUUUGGCGUGCAUUGUUUGCUCGAAGAGUCGGGUUGUUUCUGAGUACAACCCAAAGUAGGUGGUAAACUCCAUCUAAGGCUAAAUAUGAGUACGAGUCCGAUAGCGAACAAGUACCGUGAGGGAAAGUUGCAAAGAACUUUGAAGAGAGAGUUCAAGAGUACGUGAAACCGCCCGGAGUGAAGCGGAUGAGCCCACAUGGUUGCUUGUUGGAAUCAAUUGUAUGGCUAGGACACACGGUUAGUUGUCGCAUGUACUGCGAGGUAUGUGGGCAGCUGAUCGUGUGUUUUCUGUCCUCCUGGCUGUGCAAUGUACUUCUGACUUGCGAUGUGCCACGAGUGGUAGCCUGGCAACUAGAAGCGACAUGAGCAGGUAACACCAUUGGUCCAGUCUGUGGUCUAGUUGGUGUGAGGCUUGUGUUAAAUUUAGCUUGCUCAGUGCUACCUAGGACAGCUUGUGCUCAGCUGCAGCGGUUUGUGCUACCGCUUCGCGCGUAGGGGCACGUAGGCUGCUCAGGUGGAUGUGUGUUAUUCGGGACUGCUGUGCAGUGUCGCGUAGCGCAUGUCUACAUAUUGUAUGGGUAGCUUCGUUUGCAAGUGAAUUGUAACGAAUUGCUGUUCGGUGGCCAGUUGGUAACUCAACCGUCCCGUCUUGAAACACGGACCAAGGAGUUCAGCAUGCAGGCGAGUCUGAGGGUGAUGCAAAACCCGAAGGCGCAGUGAAAGCGAAGGCUGCCUUGGGCAGCUUAGAUGUGAUCCGUUGAUUAGCGAGAGCUAUCACGGCGCAACAUCGUCUCGUCGUGACCUUGUGUGGGUGCGGCGAAGAUUGAGCCUGCACGCUGUGACCCGAAAGAUGGUGAACUAUGCUAGAGGAGGACGAAGCCAGAGGAAACUCUGGUGGAGGUCCGAAGCGAUUCUAACGUGCAAAUUGAUCGUCAGACUUUGGUAUAGCGGCGAAAGACUAAUCGAACCAUCUAGUAGCUGGUUCCCUCCGAAGUUUCUCUCAGGAUAGCUGGCACUCGCUUUGAUUUUUACCCGGUAAAGCGAAUGAUUAGAGUGUUUUGGGUUGAAAAGAUCUAAACCUAUUCUCAAACUGUAAAUGGAUGAGUUGUUUGACUCUCUUGACUGGAGUCGGAUUCUGUGUGAAUCUGUGAAGUGCCAAGUGGGCCAUUUUUGGUAAGCAGAACUGGCGCUGUGGGAUGAACCAAACGUCUGGUUAAGGUGCCUAACGGACGCUCAUUGGAAAACACAAAAGGUGUUGGUUGAUUAAGACAGCAGGACGGUGGUCAUGGAAGUCGAAA